GUCCAGCUCUGUGACACUGAAGGUCACCAGUUCCCUUGCUGGCUUCGACUGAAUGAUUCCCCUGUGAAGUCCCUUGUUUACUGUAUUUGUAAUUAGCCACCAAGAACUUGAGUAACCGGUUUCCGAGGAGAACAUAUAUCCUGAAUCAGUUCCUGGACAUUUGUUUGAGGUCUUGUAAGGGAAACUGAAGGGAAUUGUGUAUUGAACAGGAUGGCUUAGACCUGCUCAACUUCUGAGAAUUGAGGCAAAGUGGGCAAUCCAGAUGUAUCACUUGACUUUCUGACUACUGGAAGAAUUUCCCUUCAUUAUUGCACACCAGGGGUAUCCCACAGGCCAUCCUCGAUAAUGGCUUGGUUUCAUCAUUAAAAUUGUUCUCUUUGAGUCAAGAUAAUAUAGUUCCCAAGAGCUAUGUCAUACCAUCAGAAAAAAGAUAAACUUGGGCCAAACAUGAUGAGUUUCUCCUCAUGAAGAGAGAAGAGAUCAAAAGAAGGAUGAUCCCCACACAGAUGUGCAAGUGACUAAUUCAGUCCAGAAGGAAACCAGGCCCCCCUCACAGUGUUGAGAGAAGACAGCACCAGCCAGCCUUGUAGCCUGAGAAGCUGUCUCCUCACCAGCUUUCUCCUCACCAACUCUUCAAAGAUCCAGUUGAUACAAAAUGCACAUGCUAAAAUAUGAUUCCCCAGUCCUGUCCAAGCUGAUGUGGUCUUCUCCAAGCCCCCAGUCCUGACCAAGCUGAAUCUCCUUUGUCACUCAUGGGGCAACAGGGACUUACCUGCCAGUGCAGGAGAAAGGAGAGAUCCUUUAGAACAGGAGCUAAGAUGCCAGGAGCUCACGCAAAAUGCUUGAAGAAAGGGGCUUAGCCAGAAACCGAACUGGGAGUUGAUGCCCAGUUUAGGAAGAGUUCAAAUCGAGGAGUCAGAAGCAGCAAAUUCUACAUCAGAUCCACAAAUUCUUAACUAGAAGAAUAAAAACAAGUCAAAUCAAGUUGGGCUCAAAAGGAAUAUAGGGGCAGAAGAGGUGAUGUGCAGAUGGGUGUGCCUGGCCAAAUGGUGGGGGUAGGCACAGGCAGCACACACCAUUGAUUUCUUUGCUUCCUUUUUUAAAGAUUUUAUUUUUAAGAGCAGUUUCAGGUUCAAAGCAAAGUUAGAAGUACCAAGAUUUUUUCCAUAUACCCCUGUCCCUACAUAUGCAUAGCCCCCUCAUUAUCAAAAUCCCCUAUCAGAGUGUAAUAAAUGACAAUGAACCUACGUUGGACGCAUCAUAAUCACGUAAAGUCCUGGUGUACAUUAGCUUUCACUCUUGGUGUUGUACAUUCUAUGAAUUCGGACAAAUGUGUAAUGGCAUGUGUCCACUGUUAUGGUAUCAUACAGAGCACUUUCACUGCCACAAAAAUUUUCUGCUCUCUGCCUAUAGUUGGGGAUCAGAAACCAAUACCCCAAAAUAUGGCAUUUUGACAUGCUGAACUGAAGAAGCUUUAAUGUCUCUCUGACCUUCCUUCUUCUGCCCCACCUUCUUUCCCAAAACCUAGGAUUAUCUUGUUCCCUUAUCUGCUUAAAGUCCGAACCUGCCAAAGAAGAAAACAAUGACCUCUGCACCCUUCCCUGAGUUUCCAUUAACUGAACCUAGAUUCCAGGAAGAAAGAUUGAAGUCUGUCAACACACCUGGACAGACUUUUAUCACAAACCAUUGUCCACUCUGCUAACCCAACAGAUUUUGUCCCAGACAACUGUAUUCUCUUCAAGCCCAUUGAAUUCUCCCUAGGAAUCAUGCAUUGCCCCUCAACAGAAUUCCUCUUGUCCCUACUCACAUAGUUUGCUUUGCCGGGAUCCUAAGAUUUCUUGGAAAACCUUAGGACCAGGAGGUAUUCUUGUGGACUCAUUCUGUUUUUCUGUAACCUCAAGAUGGUGUAUAAGCUUCUGCCCCCUAAUCGGGGGUUGGAGUAAUCACUGUGUCUCCUGUGUGAAAGUAAACACAUUUGUAUGCCCUUUUCCCAAUUAAUCUACCUUCUGUGAGUUGAUUUUUUAGCGAAACUUCAGAGGGCUCUUUGACUCCUACACUAUUUAUCCCUCCCCCUCCCUUCAGCCCCUAACAACCACUGAUCUUCUUACUGCCUCCACAGUUUUACCUUUUCCAGAAGGUCAUAUAGUUGAAAUAUUACAGUCCGUUACCUUUUCAGAUUAGCUUCUGUCACUUAGUAAUAUAUAUUUAAGAUUCCUCCAUGUCUUUUCAUGGCUUGAUAGUUCAUUUCUUUUCAGUAUUAAAUGAUAUUCCAUUGUUUGAUGUACCACAAUUUAUCCCUUACCUACUGAAGGAAUACCUGGUUGUUUCCAAGAUUUACCUGGCCACCUAUGGAAUACUGUAGUUUCCAAAACUGGCCAUAAGAUAUUUCCUACUAUUCUUGCAUAUUGCAGUUGCAUAAGAAUUGCGUCCUAAGAUUUUCCAGAAAUUUGGCACUUCUCCAUCAAGACAUGGAUUCUACUUCCUCUUCCCUUAAGUCUAGGCAGAUUUGUGACUGGUAACCACAGAGCAUGGUAGAAAUUACACGGAGUGAUUUCUGAGGUUAUAAAUGAUGAAGCUCAUCUACCUCACAGGAACAUAGGCAUUGAGUCCUGAGCCACCAAGCAAGUGUCCAACUACUCUGAAACUGCCAUGUGUUAAGUGAAAAGAUAGCAAGGGGAAGCACUGAAGCUGCAUCGUGAGCGAGAGAUGCCCAGCCACCAGGCAGCUGCUCCACCCACCUCACCCUCAGCCUACUUUCCUCCACCCUCAACCUUGUACUUUUGUUGCUCCAACCACUGUCUGGUUACAAUCAGAGGAGAGAUUCCAAGACAGUAGCACCCAGCUAAACCCUUCCUGAAUUCGCAACUCACAAAAGUUAUAAAAGACAAUAAAAUGACUGUUCUUUAAGUUAUAUGUUUUGAAGUGAAUUAUUAUUCAGCAACAAAUAACCCAUAACAUCAUCCUUUUUUCCUCACCUCCACUUCCCAGUUUUGCCUCCAGUCUGAGUACUUAAAGUUAGGCCUACAAAUCCAGUCCUUUCCCUUCAAAGGAAACUUAUUAUAAACUGAGGCAUCCAGAAAAAGGCUGUCAUGAGGUUUUAAUGUCAUUCUCUGCUCUCUUCAUU
rnacentral:lncRNA from 1 species